GCUAGGAUGAACGCUAGCUACAGGCUUAACACAUGCAAGUCGAGGGGCAGCAUAUCGAAAGCUUGCUUUGAUGAUGGCGACCGGCGCACGGGUGAGUAACGCGUAUCCAACCUUCCCUAUACUAGAGGAUAGCCCGGCGAAAGUCGGAUUAAUACUCUAUGUUCUUCGUAGAAGACAUCUGAAAUGAAGCAAAGGUUUACCGGUAUAGGAUGGGGAUGCGUCUGAUUAGGUUGUUGGCGGGGUAACGGCCCACCAAGCCCACGAUCAGUAGGGGUUCUGAGAGGAAGGUCCCCCCACAUUGGAACUGAGACACGGUCCAAACCCCUACGGGAGGCAGCAGUGAGGAAUAUUGGUCAAUGGACGAGAGUCUGAACCAGCCAAGUAGCGUGCCAGGAUGACGGCCCUAUGGGUUGUAAACUGCUUUUAUACAGGGAUAAAGUGCACUACGUGUAGUGUUUUGUAGGUACUGUAUGAAUAAGGACCGGCUAAUUCCGUGCCAGCCGCAGC
rnacentral:rRNA from 1 species